rnacentral:lncRNA from 1 species
AAAAUCAAUAAACUCAUCUCCAAUCUCUCUGGCCACAGUUCAUCUAUCAAAACAUUAAUUUUUUAAAAAAAUAAAAACAAAUUCAUACAAAAUCCCCCUCUCACCUUAAAAUCUUCAUGGGAAGCAAAAACCAUUUUUCCAGAUCUGAAGAAAAAAAGGAACACCAUUUCCAUUGUUAUGCAAGAGGUGAUUGUGUAUCAAAUCAACUCAAUAAACUAUUAAUUCUACCAAUUUUCUUAAAUAUUAACAAAUAAUUUUGUUCAGUUAUCCAACCAACGUCUCAUAUUCACUAUUUUUUACAAAACAAAGAAAAACGUUUCAACCAAACCAUGAGGACGGAGCCUCUAUCUUUCACUACGAAUCUGGGCACAAUCUGUGGUUGAAGGGAGAUAGCUUCUGGGUCGUUGGAUUCGAGUAUAGAUAGAACAACCACAUGAAAGAUGUUAA